AGGUGUGAUAAUGCCAACAUUAAUGCACCGGAUCCCUUCAGAACUCCAUAUUUAAGCGCGCUUGGGCUAGAGUAGUACUGGGAUGGGUGACCUCCCAGGAAGUCCCAGUGUUGCACCCU
rnacentral:rRNA from 1 species